GGGUUCUUAAAAUUCACCUUAAAUGAGACGCAUGAUAGUUUUAGAAAUGUUUAAACUGUGUUUAAAAAUUCAUAUUUUUUGUUUUUUUUUAUGCAGUUUGAGCAGCAAAGAUAACCCUCACCAUACUCUGACAAACCUUGUGCAAACACGACAUGAAAAGGAUGAUGGGGCCAAAAGUCUUUAUUGUGUCAUAUGUGUUCAAUAGAAUUGCUGUCAUAUUUACAGUAAAUGUUCUGGUAUUAUCAAAAUGACCAACAAAAAAACGGGUUCUACCACAUAACUGAGUGUUAACAGUAAAAGAGGUCUAGCAUGGGGCACCCAGGGGUGUGUCCAAGGAGUAUUGCUAAGGGGUGGCUUGCCCAGAAAUGAUGAAAUUUGACUGGCCACCCAUGUCCCCUUACAAAAUACUCAAAUGUGAUUGUCUUUUUUUCUUUGUCAGAAGUGAAAAUCGUUUUGCAACUGGCUUUCGCAAGUUGCUUUCUUUCAUUGUAUCUAGUUUUAAAAAUCUUAUUACUUAUAAUUUUAGAAAAUUACUCCAUACAUUGGAGAGGAAGUGGCCCAGAAAGUUCUUAUUUUGGUGCAAAAACAGUUGCCAAUGAAUUUUUUUUACAGACAUUGUGCAGGAGUUUGCUUGCAGUUUUUAAAAAUGAAAUAAAAUUUACGAUAUUCUAGGGGGUGGGGCGAUAAUCUUCCCUCUGAAUGAAACUUAUUGUGUUAGGCAAUGUGCAGUUUUUACGCAGAUGUGUUGCUGUCUCUAGUACUGUUAAUGUAAGUAUUAACAUGCUUUUAUCUACACAUUUGAAAAUCUCAAAUUAAGGGUUUUCAAAACAUGUCCCAGUCGGGUUACAUUGAUUUGUGGAUGUGGUAGCCUCCAAGUGCCAACGGUUGCAGCUUUGAGCAUGUGCAGACGUGCUUAGACCCACUUUUGGAGAUUUUAGAUUGUAGAUUGGGUGGAGGAAAAGCAAUAAUCUUCCCCCUGAAUGAAACUUAUUGUGUUAGGCAAUGUGCAGUUUUUAUGCGGAUGUGUAGCUCUUUCUAGUACCAUCUUCCAUUACCAUGCUGCCUGUUACCUGAUGGUAGUUGAACAUGAAAAUGGACCCACUUUGCUAAAAUUUGAAUUUUGGGGCAUUUCCAAUUAGAUCAGAACUCAAGAUUUGUUUCUUUCAGUACAUCAUUAAGAUCUAAUAAACCUUUCUCUUUCUUCACAGGUGUCCAAGGUGAGGAUAGUUUUCCAGCAGCUCAGCAGGUGUCUGAGGACAAAGGUUGAAGAUAAACUGUAAAACAUGACCCUGAGAGGUCACAGCCUUUAAAGUAAAGUCAACAAUACAUGAGCUUUAACAUGAGGCAGCAUUAAUGAUUCAUAAGUCCCCCUCUCCCAUCCCCCAACCCC